rnacentral:rRNA from 1 species
AGAGUUUGAUCAUGGCUCAGAACGAACGCUGGCGGCGUGCUUAAUACAUGCAAGUCGUGCGAGAAAGUUCCCCUUCGGGGGGACGAGUAAAGCGGCGAACGGGUGCGUAACACGUGGGCAACCUGCCUUCGGGUUGGGGAUAAGCCUUCGAAAGAGGGUCUAAUACCGAAUAACAUCUUCUGGUGGCAUCGCCGGAAGAUCAAAGGUGGCUUCGGCUACCGCCUGAAGAUGGGCCCGCGCUCCAUUAGCUUGUUGGCAGGGUAACAGCCUACCAAGGCAUCGAUGGAUAGCCGGCCUGAGAGGGUGAUCGGCCACACUGGGACUGAGAUACGGCCCAGACUCCUACGGGAGGCAGCAGUAGGGAAUAUUGCGCAAUGCCCGCAAGGGUGACGCAGCAACGCCGCGUGGGGGAUGAAGCUCCUUGGAGUGUAAACCCCUGUCAGGAGGGACGAACUGUUUCAGCUCUAACAUAGCUGAGAUUUGACGGUACCUCCAGAGGAAGCUCCGGCCAACUCCGUGCCAGCAGCCGCGGUAACACGGGGGGAGCGAGCGUUGUUCGGAAUCACUGGGCGUAAAGGGUACGCAGGCGGGAAGGCAGGUCAGAUGUGAAAACCCAUGGCUCAACCAUGGGCCUGCAUCUGAAACCACCUUUCUUGAGUAUCGGAGAGGAAAGCGGAACUCCUGGUGUAGCGGUGAAAUGCGUAGAUAUCAGGAGGAACACCGGUGGCGAAGGCGGCUUUCUGGCCGAAUACUGACGCUCAUGUACGAAGGCCGGGGGAGCAAACAGGAUUAGAUACCCUAGUAGUCC